rnacentral:lncRNA from 1 species
AAUCUCCCCAAAUCUUAGUGUCUUAAAUAGUGAAAGUUUGUUUUUCACAUCAUGUCAGGGAAAAAUCUGCUUUUUCUCCUGAGCAACUAAUAUUUUUUUUCUCUUAUGGACGUUACAAACCUGAUAAUGGAUUGAUUUUCCUCAUUGACUUAGCUACUAGGAAGCUCUUUUUAGCAACUGUUCAUUAUGUUUACUGAUAUUCCCUGGCUCAUCUUCCUAUUUGACUUUGAUUUGCUCAUAACUUGGAUUUCUUCCUCCCUACCACCCCCGCCCCCAAUAUUGUGAUACUUUUGUUUGUUGCCUCAAAAUCCCUUUGGGGAUGAGAUGAGCUGUAGAGUAAAUGAAUGACUCAAAAGCAGUCUUGCUGGAAGAUGGCUGCUAUUGAAGGGAAAUUGGGGAACAACCUCUUUGACAAACAAAUGUUUCCUGUGAUUCAGAUGGGUCCAUAAAAAAAUCAGACAAGGACUAGAAUGUAAGCUUUAAGAGGGCAUGGACUUUGUUUUGCUGUCACUGUGUCCCCAGUACCUAAAAUAGUGCCCUGUGCACAGUAGGAGCAGAAAGAAAGAAAGAAGGAAAGAAGGAAAAGAAAGAAAUAAAGAAAAAGAAAAACAAAGAAAGAAAGAAAGAAAGAAAGAAAGAAAAAGAAGGAAAGAAAGAAAAACAAAGAAAGAAAGAAUGAAGCCACUGUUCUUAGAGAAGGGGAAAGAACCUUAAGGACUGGUGCUGGAAGACCCUGAAGAUAUCUGUAGUCUUACUUAUAACCAACUGUGCAACCUUGGGCAAGCACCCUACCCUCUUUGGAUUGCUGGUUGGUCUGUAAAAUGAAGUGGGUGAGAUGAGUGGAUGUGAAGAAGAUUGAACUCAGUAAUGGAUAUAAAGUAUUUUGGGAAAAAUAUUGUGCUUUCAUCAUUUUUCUUUCUUUGAAGUCUCUGUAUGGGAAAAUAUCCAGAUAGGCUUGUUCUGGGACCAUAGUGGACCAGCUGUGCACCAGGGUGGAUUCCAAAGACAUUGCCAGGUGGUUAGACUGGUGGAUUGUACCCAGAUCAAAUAUGUGCAAGUGGCAAAGACUGAGGUGUUUUCCAGAACUUUUUACUGGGGCUGGUGUCGUAUGCCCACCUGAUAAAUGAUGCUCUGAGCAGUGUUCAGGAACGAUUGAGUUCUUUCUCACUCCAGGUGUCUGUCUCAUUCCUCACAUAGAAGCAAUGCCUUACGUUUUUACGAUGCCUCGCAGUUCACAAAGCCAGUUGGAACACAUGUUGUCAUCAACCCUGCAACCACACUUAGAGGUAGGUGCUGUCCCCAUUCUGAAGAUGAUGAAAAUGAGGCUAAGGGAGAUGACAUCACUUGCCCAAAGCCACAGAGCCACGUGGUGACAGAGGCAGCUGAUGGCCCACGCUCUUUUCUCCAAACAUUGCUCCAUCACUCCAACUUUACAGAUUAAGUCUCUGGUAUUCCAGUGUGCUGACUUGCACUGGAUCUUUCCUGGACAUAGGGAACCAAGUGAUCUCCUCAUUUGAGGAUCCCAAGGGAUGGCUACUUUCUCCUGGAGGGAUUUUAAGAGAAGGUCAAAAGAGAAUUUGUCUCCCUGAAAGUUGCCUUGACUUCUGGGGAAGUCUUAUUCUAACCACUAGAGUCUUUUCAUGUCCAGGCCCACUGCAUCCACCCA